rnacentral:other from 1 species
GACUAUCUGAAAUACUUGUCACGCUCUUAUUUUGAACCUACAGUACUUAAACGGGAGUUCAAUAUUUAGGUGUAGAUUGGAACUAUAAGGCCUUAUUUGUUAUAAGGCAAGAACAGUGAUGCAUUUGUGAGGACACCCACCUAUCGUAGAGAUAGGUGUCAAAAUCAGGGCAACGGUAUUUCGGAUUUAUA